rnacentral:rRNA from 1 species
AAAAACAUAACUAUAUGAUAUAAUAUAUAGCCCCUCUGCUCAAUGGUACACUAAAUAGCCGCAGUACCCUGACUGUGCAAAGGUAGCAUAAUCAAUUGGCUUUUAAUUAAAGUCUAGAAUGAAUGAAAACAUGGGUAGUGACUGUCUACUAUUAUAUUUUAUUGAAUUUAAUAAGUAGGUGCAAAUGCCUACACAGUUAAAAAAGACGAGAAGACCCUAGAAACUUGUAUACUUAUUUUGUUGGGGCGACAGAAUUACAAAGAACUAAUUUUAUUUUUACAGGACGAAAGCAGAUAGAGUAAGUUACUCUAGGGAUAACAGCAUAAUUUUACAGUUUGUGACCUCGAUGUUGGACUAGGUAAAUAAUUUUUUAGAAGGAAAUUUAAAUGCUCUGUUCGAGCAACGUGUACCUACAUGAUCAG